rnacentral:rRNA from 1 species
UACGAGGGGGGCAAGCGUUGUUCGGAAUUAUUGGGCGUAAAGGGCGCGUAGGCGGUUUGACAAGUCUGAUGUGAAAUCUAUGGGCUCAACCCAUAGUCUGCAUUAGAAACUGUCGGGCUUGAGUAUGGGAGAGGUGAGUGGAAUUUCCGGUGUAGCGGUGAAAUGCGUAGAUAUCGGAAGGAACACCUGUGGCGAAAGCGGCUCACUGGACCAUAACUGACGCUGAGGCGCGAAAGCUAGGGGAGCAAACAGG